UAUACCGGGUGUUUCAGCGAACACUUAAAGCAAAGGUUAAAAAUCGCCUGUGGCAGAUAGCACAAUUCUAGUCCUUGAGCUGAUCUCCUCGAAGAGGUGGACACUACUUUCAC
rnacentral:lncRNA from 1 species